AUAGAUGGUCGGGCAGUCGCCUCUGUAUAGGGGAGGAAAGUCCGGGCUCCAUGGGAACACGAUGCCGGAUAAUUCCCGGCCAGGGUGACCUGAGGGAAAGUGCCACAGAAAACAAACCGCCCGUCAGGGUAAGGGUGAAAUGGUGCGGUAAGAGCGCACCGCAUGGCCGGUAACGGGCAUGGCAGGGUAAACCCCAUCGGGAGCAAAACCAAAUAGAAGCGGCGCAUAGCCUGUUCCUAGGUUGUCGCUUGGGUAGGUUGCAUGAGGUGUCCGGUAACGGGCAUCCCAGAUGAAUGGCUGCACAUUAUGUGGUGACACAUAAGGACAGAACCCGGCUUAUAGACUGUCUAUCCUU
rfam:Alpha proteobacterium IMCC14465 IMCC14465_2, whole genome shotgun sequence.